GACGAACGCUGGCGGCGUGCCUAAUACAUGCAAGUCGAGCGAAGUUUUUCUGGUGCUUGCACCGGAAAAACUUAGCGGCGAACGGGUGAGUAACACGUAAAGAACCUGCCUCAUAGACUGGGACAACUAUUGGAAACGAUAGCUAAUACCGGAUAACAGCAUUAACUGCAUGGUUGAUGUUUAAAAGUUGGUUUUGCUAACACUAUGAGAUGGCUUUGCGGUGCAUUAGCUAGUUGGUGGGGUAAAGGCCUACCAAGGCGACGAUGCAUAGCCGACCUGAGAGGGUGAUCGGCCACACUGGGACUGAGACACGGCCCAGACUCCUACGGGAGGCAGCAGUAGGGAAUCUUCCGCAAUGGGCGAAAGCCUGACGGAGCAACGCCGCGUGAGUGAAGAAGGAUUUCGGUUCGUAAAGCUCUGUUGUUAGGGAAGAAUGAUUGUGUGGUAACUAUACACCAGUAGAGAACGGUACCCUAAACCCAGAAAGCC
rnacentral:rRNA from 1 species